AGAGUUUGAUCCUGGCUCAGAACGAACGCUGGCGGCGUGGAUAAGACAUGCAAGUCGAACGGGAAUCACGAGAAGCUUGCUUUUUGUGAUUCUAGUGGCGGACGGGUGCGUAACACGUGAGCAACCUGCCCAAAAGAGGGGGAUAGCCCGAGGAAACUCGGAUUAAUACCGCGUAUGGUACGGAAAGGCAUCCUUCUAUAAAGGUGGGGAUCACUUCGGUGACCUGCCGCUUUUGGAUGGGCUCGCGGCCUAUCAGCUUGUUGGUGAGGUAAAGGCUCACCAAGGCUACGACGGGUAACUGGUCUGAGAGGACGAUCAGUCACACUGGAACUGAGACACGGUCCAGACACCUACGGGUGGCAGCAGUCGAGAAUCAUUCGCAAUGGGGGAAAGUCUGACGGUGCGACGCCGCGUGGAGGAUGACGGUCUUCGGAUUGUAAACUCCUGUCAUCAGGGAGUAAGGCUGUACUGGUUAAUAACCUUUGCAGUUGAUAGUACCUGAAGAGGAAGAGACGGCUAACUCUGUGCCAGCAGCCGCGGUAAUACAGAGGUCUCAAGCGUUGUUCGGAUUUACUGGGCGUAAAGCGUGCGUAGGCGGCGAGGUAAGUCAGAUGUGAAAGCUCAGGGCUCAACCCCGAAAAUGCAUCCGAUACUGCCUUGCUAGAGUAAUGGAGGGGAGUCUGGAAUUCACGGUGUAGCAGUGAAAUGCGUAGAUAUCGUGAGGAACACUAGUGGCGAAGGCGAGACUCUGGACAUUUACUGACGCUGAGGCACGAAGGCUAGGGUAGCGAAGCGGAUUAGAUACCCGCGUAGUCCUAGCAGUAAACGGUGCACGUUUGGUGUGGGAGGAUUCGACCCCUUCCGUGCCGGAGCUAACGCGUUAAACGUGCCGCCUGGGGAGUACGAUCGCAAGAUUAAAACUCAAAGAAAUUGACGGGGACCCGCACAAGCGGUGGAGUAUGUGGCUUAAUUCGAUGCAACGCGAAGAACCUUACCUGGGCUUGACAUGCUUAUCAUAUCCCUGUGAAAGCAGGGAGUCAGUUCGGCUGGAUUUGCACAGGUGCUGCAUGGCUGUCGUCAGCUCGUGUCGUGAGAUGUUGGGUUAAGUCCCGCAACGAGCGCAACCCCUGUGAAUAGUUGCCAGCACGUAAUGGUGGGGACUCUGUUCAGACGCCGGUGCUUAAACCGGAGGAAGGUGGGGAUGACGUCAAGUCAGUAUGGCCCUUAUGCCCAGGGCUGCACACGUACUACAAUGCUCAGUACAAUGUGAACCGAUACCGCGAGGUGGAGGAAAUCUUGAAAACUGAGCUCAGUUCGGAUUGGAGGCUGCAACUCGCCUCCAUGAAGUCGGAAUCGCUAGUAAUGCCGUAUCAGCUACGACGGCGUGAAUACGUUCCCGGGUCUUGUACACACCGCCCGUCACAUCAUGGAAGUUGGUCGCGCCCGAAGUACCUGCGCCGAUCCCGCUUGCGGGAAGGCAGGGUCCUAAGGUGAGACCGGUAACUGGGAUGAAGUCGUAACAAGGUAACC
rnacentral:rRNA from 1 species